UACCAGCUCUCCGAGUGGUGUGGAUGUUUAUUGGGCCUAAAGCAUCCGUAGCUGGCUGGGCAAGUCCCCUGUUAAACUCAGCGACCUAAUCGUUGAAUCGCGGGAGAUACUACUAGGCUAGGAGGCGGGAGAGGUCGACGGUACUUCUGGGGUAGGGGUGAAAUCCUAUAAUCCCGGGAGGACCACCAGUGGCGAAGGCUGUCGACUAGAACGCGCUCGACGGUGAGGGACGAAAGCUGGGGUAGCGAACCGGAUUAGAUACCCGGGUAGUCCCAGCUGUAAACGAUGCGGGCUAGGUGUUGGGAUGGCUACGGGCCAUUUCAGUGCCGCAGGGAAGCCAUUAAGCCCGCCGCCUGGGGAGUACGGCCGCAAGGCUGAAACUUAAAGGAAUUGGCGGGGAGCACCACAAGGCGUGAAGCUUGCGGUUC
rnacentral:rRNA from 1 species